AUACAUGCAAGUCGAGCGGACAGAUGGGAGCUUGCUCCCUGAUGUUAGCGGCGGACGGGUGAGUAACACGUGGGUAACCUGCCUGUAAGACUGGGAUAACUCCGGGAAACCGGGGCUAAUACCGGAUGCUUGUUUGAACCGCAUGGUUCAAAUAUAAAAGGUGGCUUCGGCUACCACUUACAGAUGGACCCGCGGCGCAUUAGCUAGUUGGUGAGGUAACGGCUCACCAAGGCAACGAUGCGUAGCCGACCUGAGAGGGUGAUCGGCCACACUGGGACUGAGACACGGCCCAGACUCCUACGGGAGGCAGCAGUAGGGAAUCUUCCGCAAUGGACGAAAGUCUGACGGAGCAACGCCGCGUGAGUGAUGAAGGUUUUCGGAUCGUAAAGCUCUGUUGUUAGGGAAGAACAAGUACCGUUCGAAUAGGGCGGUACCUUGACGGUACCUAACCAGAAAGCCACGGCUAACUACGUGCCAGCAGCCGCGGUAAUACGUAGGUGGCAAGCGUUGUCCGGAAUUAUUGGGCGUAAAGGGCUCGCAGGCGGUUUCUUAAGUCUGAUGUGAAAGCCCCCGGCUCAACCGGGGAGGGUCAUUGGGAAACUGGGGAACUUGAGUGCAGAAGAGGGAGAGU
rnacentral:rRNA from 1 species